CUUCAGCUGAACCCCACACACACACAUCACAGUCCAACAACAUUUAUUUUGGCCAAUGAGAGGGAGUCUGUGAAGGUGUUGCGGUAACGCCUGCCAGACUUGUAGGAACAAAUGAACAGGAAACAAGCUGCUGGUAGGAAAUGAUUCUUAAGAACUGAUACAAGCGAUGACUUCACCACACACACACAUGGACACACACAAGGCCAGCCCAUCCAGAUGAGGGACAGUGUACAGCAGAGACGAUAAAUGAUGGUUUGAGAAGAGGUGACCUCUACGGACAAUUCAGCUCCUGAUAACCUCCCGGACAUAUAACAAUGAAUAAAUCCUAACAAGGAGAAGCUAAUACAUGACAAACUCUGAUGAUCCCAGACUUCACAACGCAGCAAAACUGUAUUUUUUUGUGUAGAUUCGGAGACAGCUAGCAACAGAAAAUUACAUUAUGCAAUAUUGAGUGUAUAAAUGCUUUUAGGUACAAGGGACAGCAUGUUCAUUUGAGGUGCCUGUCCACACUUAAUAAUUAAUACACAAAAGCUUAUAAGUUUAAGCUAAGAGAUAUAUUUGGAAUAAAGCAGCUCUAUCCCUGUUAUGCUUUAGAUUUCUGUUUUAUGCAGGUGUUCAUUUUUGUUGUUCAAGUCCUCAAACAUGAUAUCACAUGUUGGUAGUAAAGUCAUAGUUUUUUUCCCAGUUAUGGAUCUAUUGUUACCAGGGAGAGCCUGCCUUCUCUUUUUUCUGGCUACAGCGUGCUUUGAUCAGCUCAUCUCGAGUGUAUAUCCUGCGUUUUAUGUCUUUCAUCCUCCCUGCUUCACUCCACUGCAUAAUGUCCAGUACCGCUCAAACACCUUAAACAUAAUCUUUACGCUUAAAUAACGAGCCGAUGCAUCGUUAGUUUCAGACUCCAUACUUAGCUUCUAUCAACUCCUACACAACUCCCGAGAAAUUCUCUUUUUGCUUAUUUUGGUUUCUCUUCUGCUGACACCUUGUUCCUGUCUUCUAAAUUUUUGACGUACUUUUCCCUGCACAGUCCUCCCUCUCUCCUCCUUUGUUUUAUCUGUUCCCCUGCCUCUGUCUUCCAGACUAAACAUCAUGUCUGCUGUCAGACUGAGGAACUGUGUCUGCAUUCUGUAUUUCUCUUGUGUUAUGUCAAGGUAUUUCACUCAUUUAUUGCUAUGACAGCUCACAUUCACAAUACAACUGAAGAGAUUUGUGUUGGCCUGCUGGUAAUCCAAUAAAGAAUAUGGCAGCAGUUAAGAGAGUUCCCUCUCAUGUUUUUACAACUAGGGCUGCACCGUGUGAACAGAAAUAAGGGAGUAUGUUGAAUAUCGCAAUUACAAGGAAUAAUCAGAUAAAAGUGUACUUUACUU